CCUGAACUCCAGUAGGGCCCAAGCCAGCCAGGAAGGAGGAGGCAGCCAGAGAGGCCUCCACUGUUCUCUGCAGCAGAAGACCCCCUGCUGCCAGAUCUCCAGGUUAAGCCCUUUCAGAUGUUAUUGGGCUGCUAUGAAAACAAGCGGGGAAGCAGCAGCAUGGCUGUAGAGCUCUUUUGGGGUCACAAAAUAUAUCAAGCCCUUGGCAAGAAGUCCCAUAAGAUGAAAAAACUAAUGAUGCUGGGCCAGCAAAAUGCCUGCUGGGGAGGGAGAAAGCCUGUCUCCCACAAAGGAAUCUUGUCAAGAGCACCUGUUACAAAGGAAAGGAGAAGUAACUCAACAUUAAGCUGCCUUUCUCUGCAACUCCAUGUUUCUGGUCAUGUGAAGUUCUGUCCCAAAAAUCUGAAACAGAAUUAAUGUACUGCUCAUAAAGUUGGAGGGGGGGAUAUUGAAUUCAGUAUUUAAUUUAUUGUUCCUGAGUGUGCAAUAAUCACAUUUAGAAGAGAUGAACACUAAAACAAUGAAAACGUGAAUAGAAAGAAAAGAGGAAAAUAGGUAAUGGUUUCCAUGGAUUUUUAAAACAAUCAAAAGAGACAGCGGCAUGGUAUUACAUUUACAGUUCAUGCAGAAUAUUCCUAAUGGAUUUCCACCAUUAUUCAGCUGAAAGUUUGAAGUGUGCCAGUGAAAUAGGCAUGAACAUGACUAUUUUCCUAGACAACUUUCCAAGCCCUUCAGAUGUUUGUUUUUAGAUUUGCUGGUCAAAUGACCGUAACAAAGAUUUGAUUUGAUUUUACAGUGUUUAACUUGUAAACAUUGUUAAUGUGUCUUACUACAUUUCAUUCCCCCCUCAAACUGCAUUUUUUUUCAAAAAGGAAAAAAAAGUUGCUUGUGAUUUUAUCCACAGUAAACCUCCAUGUCAAACUGUAGACAACUGGCUAUAUAAAGAACGUAUUGAGAUAAAAGAUUAUUGUUGGGACUCUGAGUGAACUAAGAAAUAUUACUUUGUUUUGUCUGCAGUGCUGUUUUGAACCACUGUGGCCCUCUGUUGGGAGCCUGCCUAUAGCAAACUGUUGCUAAUGGCGAGAAACUGUCAGAAUUGCUAGGGAAGUUCUUAUAUUAUUUACACUGACAGGGUUGCAGUAUAUCUGGUAAGACAAGAGAGACCUCUGUAUGUAUAUGAGAAAGAGGCAUCCAAAACCAGUUAUGAAUUGGUCAGGGAUUGGUCAGUAAUAGGACAUUCAGUUAUCAUGGUCAGAGGUAAGAGUCCAAUGAACUUUAGGCUAAAGAAGUAUCAGGAGAAAAUUGGCUAAAAUGUCCAGGGGCCCUGAGUUUAGAAGGCCUGGUACAGCCAGACAAGGUGCAGUUAGAGGCUGGAAAAUCAGAAGAAUGAAGAAGAGAUGAGAGAAGAAGAGAAGCUACACACAACAAACAUAAGCUGGGAGACAAGGCAGAAGGAAAGAAGGAGCAGCUCAGAUCUCAAAUGGAGCAGGAGGAGGAGCUAGGAGCAGACUAUGGAAGGCAGCCCUUCAUGCUUCAAGGAGCACAACCACUUUGUAUUGCCUGAACAUGUUUUAAGAAGAGUUCUGACCAGAAGGAUAACUUUAUUGUCUGCUGUGCUAGAAGCAAGCGUAGCGUCUUCAAAGAAAGAACAGCACUGAUUUUAGAAAAACGCUGAAGAAAAAGCCUCCCAGGGAGGCAGUCCUUUUAUUUAACUCCACUUCCUGACAUGUUAAACAUUUAACCCUUUAUGUGCUAUAACUAUUAUAUGUAGCUUCUUCUAUUUUUUGUACCUUUAAAAACCUUAAACUGUUUUCAAAUUAAAACUGACAUUACUUCGUUAAAUAAAACAUUGCUAUAUUCUGAAAAGAAAUGUUUUCAAUCCAUUUAUCUGGCAUUCUAGUUCAUUACAAAUUAAGUCUUUGGGUAGGCCUGACACCUCUCCCUGACUGCGUU